rnacentral:rRNA from 1 species
GAUGAACGCUGGCGGCGUGCCUAAUACAUGCAAGUCGAGCGAACAGACGAGGAGUUUGCUUCUCUGACGUUAGCGGCGGACGGGUGAGUAACACGUGGAUAACCUACCUAUAAGACUGGGAUAACUUCGGGAAACCGGAGCUAAUACCGGAUAAUAUAUUGAACCGCAUGGUUCAAUAGUGAAAGACGGUUUUGCUGUCACUUAUAGAUGGAUCCGCGCCGCAUUAGCUAGUUGGUAAGGUAACGGCUUACCAAGGCAACGAUGCGUAGCCGACCUGAGAGAGUGGUCGGCCACACUGGAGCUGGGACGCGCUCCCUGGUCCUACGAGAGGCCGCAGUAGGGAAUCGUCCGCAGUAGGCGGAAGCCUGGCGGAGCAGCGGCGCGUGAGUGAUGAAGGUCUUCGGUUCGUGAAGCUCUGUUAUGGGGGAAGAACAACUGUGUAAGUAGCUGUACACGUCUUGACGGUACCUGAUCAGAAAGCCACGGCUAACUACGUG